rnacentral:tRNA from 1 species
GGUGGCGUGUCUGAGCGGCCUAAAGAGCUCGCCUCGAAAGCGAGUGAGGGGUCAAACCCUCCGCGGGUUCAAAUCCCGCCGCCACCG